GCGGGACAGGGCGGUCCUGGAGUCUGGUCCGGGUGGCGCUCGGGAGCUGUCGUUUGGGGCUUUCCCAGGGUUGGCGAAGGGCUCUCUAGGGAAGGGGACCAGGCAGGGGGAAAUUCUCCCCGGAGGAGUCGUAUCUCAUUGAUGAGGUGCUGAUGGACGUGCAGGUUAGGCAGAAAGUGGGAGACAUUCCACUUGAGGCCCAGUUCAUUGCUGGGAUCCUCUUAACAGGUUCCCCAGCUUCCCUCAAGUUGUAAAACAGGAAUAAUCUUGAAUCAUUAUAAGAGUUGAGGCUACCUAGUUCCACUGCGGAGCCGAUGUCCAGAACUGAAGAAGAUCUAAUACAAAUAGACUCUCAAAAGAAUCUAGAAGAAAGUAUGUUAUAGACAUAAGGUUAUUUGAGAAGACUUCCAAGAGAAGCAUGAUGAAUACCACUUGGAAAAGAAGGAAAGGGCAGAGACCAAACAAGGACCAGCCCAAUAUCUCUUGGACUUUAUUUAAUGUCAUAAUGUCAGAAUAAAGGGAAAGAUGAAUUUUUUUAAAAAAGGAAAGGGUUAGUGCAGUGCUAGACAUAGCACAUUGGUAAUUAGUACUUUUUUUUUUUUUUUUUUGAGACGGAGUCUUGCUCUGUUUCCCAGGCUGGAGUGCAGUAGCUGGAUCUCAGCUCGUUAUAACCUCCAUGUCCUGGGCUCAGGUGAUUCUCCUGCCUCAGCCUCCUGAGUAGCCGGGAUUACAGGUGCGCGCUACCACACUCGGCUAAUUUUUGUAUUUUUAGUAGAGAUGGGGUUUCACCAUGUUGCCUGGGCUGGUCCUGAACUCCUGACCUCAAAUGAUCUGCCCACCUCGGUCUCCCAAAGUGUUGGGAUUACAGGUGUGAGCCACCGUGCCCAGCCAGUAAUUGUUUAUUCCAUUGUAAAUUCUUUCUGUAGGUAAAACUACAGGGAGCAAUGAAUGAUUCUAUACUUUUCCUCCAAAGAAAUGGGAACAAGCUCUAAGCCUCUCUAAUCAGGAAGAAAAAUACACAAGUUAAUCAAAAAGAUAGUAAAGAAGUUGUACUUCAUUUGAAGACAAUAUGCUUUUGCCAUUCUUGUGGUCUUUGGAAACAUUUUGAACACAAGCUCCAUACCCAGAAACAAGUACAAGGAAUUUUUAUCUUUUCUCAAGGCCAGCUGUUUGCAGAUAUGGUGGUUGAUUUACAUUUAUUUCUGGCAUCUUGUUUUCUCAUCUGUGGGCUUUUAUUCUCCCCUCACUAAAAGCUGUUAGUGUUCCCAAUCAACAGUCCCACUGGAUAUUUUCUUGCAGACAGCUCAUUGUCUUCACUUGAAUUUACUAUAUUAGUUCCAAUGGAGACAUUUUAAAUGUCAAACAGCUUUGGCCUUUUUUCUAUGAAAUGUGCUAAAGUAUCCUAAACUUAAUUUUAUUUUUUAUUUUUAUUUAUUUAUUUAUUUAUUUAUUUUUGAGACGGAGUCUCGCACUGUCUCCCAGGCUGGAGUGUAGUGGCGUGAUCUCGGCUCACUGCAAGCUCCCUACUUCCCGGGUUCACGCCAUUCUCCUGCCUCAGCCUCCCGAGUAGCUGGGACUACAGGCACCCGCCACCAU
rnacentral:lncRNA from 10 species